ACUGCGAAGUGGAGCAAANCCCUAAAAGCCGUCUCAGUUCGGAUUGCAGGCUGCAACUCGCCUGCAUGAAGCUGGAAUUGCUAGUAAUCGCGGAUCAGCAUGCCGCGGUGAAUACGUUCCCGGGCCUUGUACACACCGCCCGUCACACCAUGAGAGUCGGGAACACCCGAAGUCCGUAGUCUAACCGCAAGGAGGGCGCGGCCGAAGGUGGGUCCGGUAAUUGGGGUGAAGUCGUAACAAGGUAGC
rnacentral:rRNA from 1 species